rnacentral:rRNA from 1 species
UACGUAGGGGGCAAGCGUUGUCCGGAUUUAUUGGGCGUAAAGAGCGUGUAGGCGGCUUUACAGGUCCGUUGUGAAGACUCGAGGCUCAACCUCGAGACGCCGGUGGAAACCGUAAAGCUAGAGUCCGGAAGAGGAGAGUGGAAUUCCUGGUGUAGCGGUGAAAUGCGCAGAUAUCAGGAGGAACACCCGUGGCGAAAGCGGCUCUCUGGUACGGUACUGACGCUGAGACCCGAAAGCCAGGGUAGCGAACCGG